CUCUCGCGACCACCGCGACUACCGUGAUGACCGCGAUGGUCGAGACGGCCGAGACAUGCGUGACCAUGACUAUCGUGAUCGCGACUCCAAUUAUAGAUCUCAUCACAAGGACAGAGACGGAUCGCGUGGCCGUGGGCGCCCCCGCAACUGAUCGUGUUUGAUGUGUGAGAAAAUUACAAGGACUGGCUUCUCUCCAUAGAUAAAUAGUACUUUAAUCAAUUGGUACCGCAUAAAAAAUUCACUUGUAUGUAGUUUACAUACAGAAAAAGGAAUCAAUAUUGCGACCGAUUGCGCUCUAAUCUGAACAAUUAUAUUUGUAACAUAGAAUAUUGUUGUUUUGAACAGUGCUUUCCUAAUGAAAAAACUAUCUACAAAUUAAAAUGUGCUAAUAAUAUUUUGUACUGGAAGAACGUUUAAUUGAAAACGGCUAGUGGACAAACAGAACAUUAAUUAAUUAUCAAUAAAUUGUCGUGUGUCGUAGCACACGGCUUUGAGUGGGGAUUGUGGACUUUGUUUCAAAUUUGUGGACUGAAUCAAUUAUAAAAUAUAGUAAUUUUAUAACGGAAAAUUCUGUGGUGAGAGGAGUUGAUCCUUUAAUGAGAGACUGGUGCAGACAACAUCGAUGUGUACGUCGCUGAGUGUAGUGUUAGAACUAUCCCGCAUCAGUGUCGGAAAUGUUAUAAAAAUACUAGUAGUUUAUGUCAGUGGAGACUUGUAUAACUUUUAUAUAUUACAUUUAAAUCGUAAUCACAUGAGGUGUGGACAUUUUAUAUACAACUUUUUUAUUUUUCAAAAGUGAAUGGAUUCUCUCGUGGCAUUGAGAUUGUUUAAUCUCCAUGUACUUACAAAUGGUGUUAAACAAUAAAUUAUAACAAUAUGUAUUAAUCAACAAAAUCAUUAUGUCAAAAGUAUAAGAUAAAAUUAUGUACUAAUUUUGUUUUAGCUUCUAUAGAUUUAACAAGAUUGGGACUGUUCAUUAUUGAUUUGUACUAUAUGUAUAUGUUUUAUACAUGUGUUUUCUAAAAUAAAGCUUAAAGUAUUUUAUAUUUUUAAGUGCAACAAACGUGUGACGAGAGAAAAUUUAUCGAUAAAAGGAUUUCCAUAUUGACAUACAAUAGAUUUAUUUGUUAUAUUAUCCCCCCACCUUGUUUUCAAGUGCCUUUUUAUCUUUUUUAAAACAUUAGAUUUAUUUAGUUUUAAUUCCACACUAUAUUUUACAUUAUUUUUAUUAUACAAAUAUAGUAAUUUGCUGUUUCAUGCUACAUGUAUUUCAUUACAAUUUAGAUGCUGAUUUCUAAGUAUAGGAGUAAUUCUUCUAUCUUGCUCUAGAAACACACAAUUAUUUGAAUCCUACAAUGAAAUUGUGAAAAAAGCGUUAAUGUGUAGAUGUUAAUUUCUCUACAUUGUGUGAUUAGUUUGUGUUUCAGUUUUCGCAAAUUUUACAAAAAUUAUGUCAGGAAUUAUAAUAUAGAGUUCAAAAUGAUAUUGGAUUAAAACCUGUCAUAGA